CCUACGGGUGGCAGCAGUAGGGAAUAUUGCUCAAUGGGGGAAACCCUGAAGCAGCAACGCCGCGUGGAGGAUGAAGGUUUUCGGAUUGUAAACUCCUUUUGUUAGAGAAGAUAAUGACGGUAUCUAACGAAUUAGCAACGGCUAAUUCCGUGCCAGCAGCCGCGGUAAUACGGAGGGUGCAAGCGUUAUUCGGAAUCACUGGGCGUAAAGGGGGUGUAGGCGGUAUAGCAAGUCAGAUGUGAAUUCCUAUGGCUUAACCAUAGAACUGCAUUUGAAACUGUUAUUCUAGAGUAUGGGAGAGGUAGGUGGAAUGCGUGGUGUAGGGGUAAAAUCCGUAGAGAUCAAGAGGAAUACUGAUUGCGAAGGCGACCUGCUAGAACAUAACUGACGCUGAUGCGCGAAAGCGUGGGGAGCAAACAGGAUUAGAUACCCGGGUAGUC
rnacentral:rRNA from 1 species